UUUAACUGAAGAGUUUGAUCAUGGCUCAGAUUGAACGCUGGCGGCAGGCUUAACACAUGCAAGUCGAGCGGGGGAAGGUAGCUUGCUACUGGACCUAGCGGCGGACGGGUGAGUAAUGCUUAGGAAUCUGCCUAUUAGUGGGGGACAACAUCUCGAAAGGGAUGCUAAUACCGCAUACGUCCUACGGGAGAAAGCAGGGGAUCUUCGGACCUUGCGCUAAUAGAUGAGCCUAAGUCGGAUUAGCUAGUUGGUGGGGUAAAGGCCUACCAAGGCGACGAUCUGUAGCGGGUCUGAGAGGAUGAUCCGCCACACUGGGACUGAGACACGGCCCAGACUCCUACGGGAGGCAGCAGUGGGGAAUAUUGGACAAUGGGGGGAACCCUGAUCCAGCCAUGCCGCGUGUGUGAAGAAGGCCUUAUGGUUGUAAAGCACUUUAAGCGAGGAGGAGGCUACUUUAGUUAAUACCUAGAGAUAGUGGACGUUACUCGCAGAAUAAGCACCGGCUAACUCUGUGCCAGCAGCCGCGGUAAUACAGAGGGUGCGAGCGUUAAUCGGAUUUACUGGGCGUAAAGCGUGCGUAGGCGGCUUAUUAAGUCGGAUGUGAAAUCCCCGAGCUUAACUUGGGAAUUGCAUUCGAUACUGGUGAGCUAGAGUAUGGGAGAGGAUGGUAGAAUUCCAGGUGUAGCGGUGAAAUGCGUAGAGAUCUGGAGGAAUACCGAUGGCGAAGGCAGCCAUCUGGCCUAAUACUGACGCUGAGGUACGAAAGCAUGGGGAGCAAACAGGAUUAGAUACCCUGGUAGUCCAUGCCGUAAACGAUGUCUACUAGCCGUUGGGGCCUUUGAGGCUUUAGUGGCGCAGCUAACGCGAUAAGUAGACCGCCUGGGGAGUACGGUCGCAAGACUAAAACUCAAAUGAAUUGACGGGGGCC
rnacentral:rRNA from 1 species